rnacentral:tRNA from 1 species
GCUGGCGUAGCUCAGUUGGCAGAGCACCCGUCUUGUAAGCGGGAGCGCGUGGGUUCGAUUCCCUCCGCCAGCU